rnacentral:rRNA from 1 species
UACGUAGGGUGCAAGCGUUGUCCGGAAUUAUUGGGCGUAAAGCGCGCGCAGGCGGUCCUUUAAGUCUGAUGUGAAAGCCCACGGCUCAACUGUGGAGGGUCAUUGGAAACUGGGGGACUUGAGUACAGAAGAGAAGAGUGGAAUUCCACGUGUAGCGGUGAAAUGCGUAGAGAUGUGGAGGAACACCAGUGGCGAAGGCGACUCUUUGGUCUGUAACUGACGCUGAGGCGCGAAAGCGUGGGGAGCAAACAGG